rnacentral:sRNA from 1 species
UGUUAAGGAUGCCAUCAUCAAAGAAGUA